GACGUAGGGUGCAAGCGUUGUCCGGAUUUAUUGGGCGUAAAGAGCUCGUAGGCGGCUUGUUGCGUCGACUGUGAAAACCCGCGGCUUAACCGCGGGCUUGCAGUUGAUACGGGCAGGCUAGAGUUCGGUAGGGGAGACUGGAAUUCCUGGUGUAGCGGUGAAAUGCGCAGAUAUCGGGAGGAACACCAGUAGCGAAGGCGGCACUCUGGGCCGGUACUGACGCUGAGGAGCGAAAGCGUGGGGAGCAAACAGG
rnacentral:rRNA from 1 species